GAUGAACGCUAGCUACAGGCUUAACACAUGCAAGCCGCGGGGCAGCAUGAAGGUUGCUUGCAACUUUUGAUGGCGACCGGCGUACGGGUGAGUAACGCGUAUCCAACCUUCCCUUUGCUAUCGGAUAGCCCGUCGAAAGGCGGAUUAAUACGAUAUGUUCUCCGAAGAAGACAUCUGACUCGGAGGAAAAGCGCAAGCUGGCACUGGAUGGGGAUGCGUCUGAUUAGCUAGUCGGCGGGGUAACGGCCCACCGAGGCAACGAUCAGUAGGGGUUCUGAGAGGAAAGUCCCCCACAUUGGAACUGAGACACGGUCCAAACUCCUACGGGAGGCAGCAGUGAGGAAUAUUGGUCAAUGGGUGAGAGCCUGAACCAGCCAAGUAGCGUGCAGGAGUACGGCCCUAUGGGUUGUAAACUGCUUUUAUGCGGGGAUAAUAGGAAGCACGUGUGCUUUUUUGCAGGUACCGCAUGAAUAAGGACCGGCUAAUUCCGUGCCAGCAGCCGCGGUAAUACGGAAGGUCCUGGUGUUAUCCGGAUUUAUUGGGUUUAAAGGGAGCGUAGGCGGCUAGUUAAGCGUGUUGUGAAAUGUAGUUGCUCAACAUCUGCACUGCAGCGCGAACUGGUUGGCUUGAGUGCGCGGAAGGCAGGCGGAAUUUGUGGUGUAGCGGUGAAAUGCCUAGAUAUCACGAAGAACUCCGAUUGCGAAGGCAGCUUGCCGCAGCGCUACUGACGCUGAGGCUCGAAGGUGCGGGUAUCGAACAGGAUUAGAUACCCUGGUAGUCCGCACAGUAAACGAUGGAUGCCCGCUGUCCGGCAUUAAGUUGGGCGGCCGAGCGAAAGCAUUGAGCAUCCCACCUGGGGAGUACGCCGGCAAUCGGUGAAACUCAAAGGAAUUGACGGGGGCCCGCACAAGCGGAGGAACAUGUGGUUUAAUUCGAUGAUACGCGAGGAACCUUACCCGGGCUUGAAUUGCAAGAGAAGGAAGUAGAGAUACUGACGCCCUUCGGGGCUCUUGUGAAGGUGCUGCAUGGUUGUCGUCAGCUCGUGCCGUGAGGUGUCGGCUUAAGUGCCAUAACGAGCGCAACCCCUGUCCUCAGUUACCAUCAGUUUGGCUGGGCACUCUAAGGAUACUGCCUCCGCAAGGAGUGAGGAAGGUGGGGAUGACGUCAAAUCAGCACGGCCCUUACGUCCGGGGCUACACACGUGUUACAAUGGCGCUGACAGAGUGCAGGCGGCCGGCAACGUCCGUCUAAUCACCAAACUGCGCCUCAGUUCGGACCGGGGUCUGCAACCCGACCCCGCGAAGCUGGAUUCGCUAGUAAUCGCGCAUCAGCCAUGGCGCGGUGAAUACGUUCCCGGGCCU
rnacentral:rRNA from 1 species